CAGGGUUCCCAUUGGGUGACUAUGUAUUCACGGUUACAAAAAGCCGACAGCCAAUCACAUCUCAUUCAGUGGCUUCAGCUGUUUUUCAAACCGACAUUAAAACACUAUUAAAGAAAAGGGUUUGGUACAAGGCUCAAAAGUGGGGCCAAACUGUUUAAUGUCUCUAUAUAAAUAAUAAAAUAUAAAUAAAAGCAACCAAUCGGAUUACUACCGUUUGCACCAAUGAUGUUUCUCUCUCUCCGCAGAAAGAAUGGCAGCGAAAAUGGCGAGGCGCAUACUUCGAAAAGUAUUUUGUUGCCUCCCACUUUUUAGAAAAAAACGAAUUGUGAUAAAAGAUAAAGAAGUUGUUAUUCUGGUUCAACCAGAAGAACAACAACAUCAACCCACUGAAACCAUCUGCGAGGACAACCCGGAGCAGAUUGUGGGGG